UUCCCCGAACUUAGUUCUUGGCCCUUCUGGGAGGCAGGGCAGGCUCGGUGGCGCCCAGGCCUCCUGCUUCUGGGUGCUGAAGACAACCACCACCAGUAACAUCAGUUGGAGCCCAGCUCUGCUUAAGCAGCCAACGCGCCCUCAAACUUCGAUCUUACGGGAAAAUGGCACGAAUUCCUACACGGCUCUGGAGGCAGUGGAGCCACUAGGAGUGGGAACCUGCCAGCCCCCAUCCCACCUUUGCACGGAGGACAUGAGCAGACAGGCCCAGGAGGCGGGAAGGUGCAAAACCGGUGUUUGUCAGCACCGCAGGAGGAGUGGGGACGCGGCUGAGCAUAGCGGUCCCAAAGGCCCCCCGCCCAAGUUUAUCCCUAAAGGGGGUCCAGCUCGGAGACAGCGUUCUGAAGACAGAACCCUGCCCCUGCCCCUGCCCCUCCUUCUCAGGCUAGAUCGCCAAAGGCCCACACGCCUGGCCCUCUGUGCUCACGAACCGGAAACAACCUAGAGUCCUGGACCAGAACUCAGAGUCAGUGCAGGGUCGCUGGCAGCCACCAGCCGCAGCCCGGGUCUGCGCGGGCCAGGCCAGCAUUUCCUGUUGCCUAGGCGCUGAGCGCGGGCUACCUGCUCCCCAGCGGGUGCCAUCCAGAGGUGCGGCAGCCCAGCCGCGGGCCUGCCAGCCGGGGUGGGCUCGGCCCCCCAGAAAAGCCCUGCAGGAACCCCCAAUCUCCCUCCCUCCCGGGGGCCCGUGCCGCCCCCUUCUCCCCCAGCCCCCCCUUCCCCCCCCUCCCCCCAGGGGCCGAGUACCUGAGGGGGCGGGCGCCCUGCAGUCUCGCUUCCUGCCAUGCCCGGGCGAGGACGGCCCGGGUCCCCGGCACCCCCGGGCUCCCGGCGCACAGCCUCCCGAGGCGCAGCCCCCAGGGGUAGAUGGCCAUGGCUUUCUGCGCCCGCGUCCCGGCCCCAGGAAACUUUUAAAGUGGAAGCCAGAAGUCAGCUUCAGAACGGACACCAGUUGGUACCCCCUUCUCCCACGGGCAGCCUCCCACCCUGGGCCUCUGCCUCGACUCCCCCCCGCCCCGGGCUCGCAGUGCACCGUGUAAGGUGGCGUCAGGGAUUGAACCCUGGGCUUCUCACCGCCAUCUGCCAACCCCAGCUUGGGCCCAGGGCCCCAUUCCGUGCCCUGUCCGAGGCAUGAAUGGAAAGCAGCAGUGGACAGAGGUUCAGCCCACCGCACCUGUUCCAUCUCCGGUCCUGGCUGGGAAAGGCUGCACCGGGCACCUGAGUGGCACAAGUGCCAGGUCCACACUGUCUCGACCCUUUCUCCAGAGGAGGAGGACAGCAAUGGGGGAAAGGCCCUGGCAGGGUGACCUCCCCGCUCCUGCCCCAGAGGAAGCAGUGAAAAUCUGGGCCAGGCAGAAAGGCUUUCCUGACUUCCCGGACACGAGUGCCAUGGAAUAACAGUCACCGAUUUCAGGAUACCUUCCUCAAGCCGUACUCUUAAGAGACAUUAUCUCCCUUCACAAUCUCCCCGCAAGGAACAGGCAUGCCUUGGAAUAUGUCUCUGGUGUUAUGGAUGAAGAAACUGAAAGACGCCUGGCUGGCUCAGUUACUAACGCACGUGACUCUUGAUCUUGGGGU